GGACUGUAAUAGUGACGCAACACCCAACUUGUUAUAGACGACUUUAGAGUUACACCUAGUACAUAUGUGCUCUAGUUCUUUCAUAUCAAUCAGCAUUUUUUUUUGGUAGAAAUAUUAAUCAGCAUUUAAUAACCUCCUGGCUUGGUAGAAUAACCAUAUCAAGCCUGCCCAUGUGUUCAAUUAGUGUGAUGAUCAAUUUCAUUUUAAAGAUGUCUCCAGUUGCCGCAAAACUUGAGGGAGGUGCUAAUGUAGUUGGAACAUCCUGAUGGAGAUCUGUGACAUUGAAGGAUACCUGUAAGAAAAGUCUGCACUCACAGGAUGUGUUCUGACAGAAGAUCCUCUAGUACUUAAGUUAGCCAGAGCUUUAGAAUAGUAAAGAGUAAAGAUCACAUG
rnacentral:lncRNA from 1 species